CAAAGGCGCCCGGGCGUGGGGCUGGCCACCCACCCCCUUGUGUGCCAUUCCGGCCUUCAUAGGUGCUCGCUCACAGCACUUGCCCCAACAAACUUUUGAAGCUAUACGGGGGAUCUUUGUCUUGGUGAUACCCACAACUAGAGAGCAAGCAAGAGGUAACGCAGGGAGCGGAGCUAUGGUGAGCGUUGGGGUCUGGGUUGUGCUUAAUGGUGGGGGCUGAUUGGUUAGUUUGUUUGUAUUAAGGUUAGGGUCAUGUGGUCAGGAUAUUGUCUAAUUGGCGAGUGUGGGUAUGGAUGGCGGUGGGGCUGGUGUCUGAUUGGAUGGUGUGGGUAGGGUUGGCGGUGGGGCUGUUGUCUGAUUGGCGAGUGUGGGUUGAGUUGGCGGUGGGGCUGGUGUCUGAUUGGAUAGUGUGGGUAGGGUUGGCGGUGAGGCUGGUGUCUGAUUGGAUAGUGUGGGUAGGGUUGGCGGUGGGGUUGGUGUCUGAUUGGGUAGUGUGAGUCGGGUUGGCGGUGGGACUGUUGUCUGAUUGGAUAGUGUGGGUAGGGUUGGAGAUGAGGCUGGUGUCUGAUUGGCGAGUGUGGGUAGGGUUGGAGGUGAGGUUGGUGUCUGAUUGGCUAGUGUCGAUAGGGUUGGAGGUGGGGCUGGUGUCUGAUUGGCUAGUGUGGGAAGGGUUGGAGGUGGGGCUGGUGUCUGAUUGGCGAGUGUGGGUAGGGUUGAAAGUAGGGCUGGUGUCUGAUUGGCUCGUGUAGGUAGGGUUGGAGGUGAGGCUGGUGUCUGAUUGGCUAGUGUCGAUAGGGUUGGAGGUGGGGCUGAUGUGUGAUUGGCUCGUGUGGGUCGGGUUGGAGGUGGGGCUGGUGUCUGAUUGGCUAGUGUGGGAAGGGUUGGAGGUGAGGUUGGUGUCUGAUUGGCUAGUGUUGGUAGGGUUGGAGGUGGGGCUGGUGUCUGAUUGGCGAGUGUGGGUAGGGUUGGAAGUAGGGCUGGUGUCUGAUUGGCUCGUAUAGGUAGGGUUGGAGGCGAGGCUGGUGUCUGAUUAGCUAGUGUGGGAAGGGUUGGAGGUGGUGCUGGUGUGUGAUUGGCUAGUGUAGGUAGGGUUGGAGGUGGGGCUGGUGUCUGAUUGGCUAGUGUGGGUAGGGUUGGAGGUGGGGCUGGUAUCUGAUUGGCUAGUGUGGGAAGGGCUGGAGGUGGUGCUGGUGUGUGAUUGGCUAGUGUGGGUAGGGUUGGAGGUGGUGCUGGUGUCUGAUUGGCUCGUGUGGGUAGGGUUGGCAGUGAAGCUGGUGUCCGAUUGGUUAGUGCGCUUUUUGCACCUCUCUAUCACUAAUUCUUUUACAACUGAAAAUCAAACCGACUUUAAAAAACCAGAGAGCUUUACGGUUCACUCUGUAGGUUAGACAUUUGGUGAGGUCUUGCCAAAUCUGUACCAGGAGAGAGUGUUCGUGAUGGUUUUUGAUGGCCUUUGACCCGUGGUGUAGUGUUGGUGGAGGGGGUUGCGUGGGGCCCUUUUGCACGGAUGGAAUCCCGGCCCCCCCACGUCCCAUGCCCCCAGCGUCUCCAGAGGGGCCGCCCUGGAGACAAACGCCAACGUCGCCUAAAGCGAGGGCACUCCCCACCACCCACCGCCAACCCUUCCCCCUUCCCCCCCCGCUUCUUAGCCUCGGCUUCCCCUCUGGCCCGUGGGCCUCAGCGCAGUUUCACCGCCUGCACACCCACUCGCGAGCUACGCCGGUGCCGCACGGCGGGCAUCACGUUCCGCCUCUCGCUCCGCGCUGCGCCAGCCACUGCCGACCUCCUCGCCACCACCGCGAGUACCAAGGGUUUAUUCGAGCGCGUGGCAUUCGCUCCAUCGUUCGUACGUACGUUGUUCAACUUCUUUCGCACCGUACGUAGCCAACCGUGCUAAACGGAAGCGUGGGGGAAGGACAACAACGUCCAGCGCAGUGUUCUUCAUUGCAAGGCUCCUUGGCCACUGGCGGCCCCCGAGGUGCGGGCCCCAACAAUACACAACAAGUGAAAACACCCCCCCCCUCCCCCAUCAUCAUCAUGCUGCGGCUGUCAAACCCCCAGUGGUUUCAAAUGCGUGGCGGCCCCCGCGCCGAUGCGACUGAGUGAACGACACUGGGGUGGCGAGCGGCAGGGCGAGCGUUGCGAGCGAAGGAACGCGUUGCUGUGCGUUCACCACAGCUGUCAACCCAGAAGGAACGCGUUGCUGUGUGUUCACCACAGCUGUUAACCCAGAAGGAACGCGUUGCUGUGUGUUCACCACAGCUGUUAACCCAGAAGGAACGCGUUGCUGUGUGUUCACCACAGCUGUCAACCCAGAAGGAACGCGUUGCUGUGUGUUCACCACAGCUGUUAACCCAGAAGGAACGCGUUGCUUGUGUUCACCACAGCUGUUAACCCAGAAGGAACGCGUUGCUGUGUGUUCACCACAGCUGUUAACCCAGAAGGAACGCGUUGCUGUGUGUUCACCACAGCUGUCAACCCAGAAGGAACGCGUUGCUGUGUGUUCACCACAGCUGUCAACCCAGAAGGAACGCGUUGCUGUGUGUUCACCACAGCUGUUAACCCAGAAGGAACGCGUUGCUGUGUGUUCACCACAGCUGUUAAUCCAGACGGAACGCGUUGCUGUGUGUUCACCACAGCUGUUAACCCAGAAGGAACGCGUUGCUGUGUGUUCACCACAGCUGUUAACCCAGAAGGAACGCGUUGCUGUGUGUUCACCACAGCUGUCAAUCCAGAAGGAACGCGUUGCUGUGUGUUCACCACAGCUGUUAACCCAGAAGGAACGCGUUGCUGUGUGUUCACCACAGCUGU